ensembl:lncRNA
ACCGUUUUUAUGGGUUUCCCUGUUGCCGUUUCCGAUCUAGACGACAUCAUAAAACGCCACAAGAAAGAGCAGAGCGAUGCCCAGGCGGCAGGGAACAGGCGGAGGCAGCAGGUGAAGAACAGGAAUUCGGCGUACGGCUACGGGCGGCCCCGCUUCCGCACCUGGAUGCAGAGGAAUUUGCAAGGACCUAACCGCUUCAGAAGAGGCUUUGGGCAACAACAGUACAAUAGAAGGCAAUUCAGGAAUACUGUGCCCGGUCCCCGGAGAAGAGCAGCUGCCGCAUUAAAUGGAGUGAGCCCUCUGAAUCGCCAGGCGUCCGCUCAAGAGGGUCACAAGAGCGACGACGCUUUCGCCAAAAGCGGUAGCAGCGGGCAGCAGCCGGAGGCGCGGAGGCGGCCGCCGCUGGGCCCCAAGGGAUUCGGAGCAGCAGCUGCCGGCACCCACGCCGCGGGGAGAAGCAGGCCUUUCGUGCUGAACAGGGGACCAGGCUUCCAGCAGAAACGGAUGCAGCAGCGCUACUCCAAGGCCAACUUCCAGAGAGGGCAGAUGAAUGCAGUUGGAGACGGGAAACGACCGAGGAUGAGAAGGUGGCAAGUGAAACCCAGCCCCGGAGCAGUCCUGACGGUUUCUGUGGCUAACCCCCAGGCGAGCCAGAGCAGCGCGCCCGGAGGCAAGCGGCCGUUCCUGCGGAGCCCGAGGCCCCCGCCGCGGGCGGCCAAGCCCCAGCCGAAGGGAGUGCUGCUGCGGUUCAACUUCCGCGCCAUGGCCAACCAGACCAGCCUGACGCUGGAUGAGAGGUUCUCUGGUCUGAGGAAUAAGCGGCGCUUUACAGCGGCGAGGAACGCUGGCCGGACGGUCACCAUGCCUUAGCACCGCGCGCUCGGCACGGGGACGGCCCGCAGCGGUCCGGGCCCCGGAACGGGCGGCUCAAUACAACUCCAUAGAUUUCCUCCGAGAUAGCUAAUUUGGCAACGUGCCCUCUCCUUCCUUACACCCAGAGCGAGCGAGCUGAGCGAGGGCAGGGACGAGGCAGCCAGAAAUGCAGGGCCAGGGCACGGGGCAGGGGGGGCCGUGCACGGGGAGGGGGCAUGAGCGGAGCCGAAUGUGCUUCCCGGGGGUAGGGCGAGAGGAAAGGGGGGGAGCAGCUUCACGACGUGCCCGUGGAGCCCUUCCCUGGGUCGCGUCGCGAGCGAGCGCAGGAUCGAUGCCGCCGCGUCGGCUCUUCCGCCCCGUUGGGAGGCCAAACGGGGAGAGGAGCGUGGGAAGGGGAUGCUCCGUUCCCCAGCUUCCACCCCAAUGCCUUAUUUCUGGCAUGUGCCGGGGUCCCUGCCCUAAAGUUUGCUGUGUACAACCCUGCUCCUGAAAACGUCUCUCCCUGCCCGCCUGGUCAGUCCUUGCGUUUCUGUUCCGGCCGUUCUGCCGGCCCGGUUUCGGGGAUGGGGUAAGGAGUGCAUGCUGUUGGCGUGGCUUUCCCUGCCGUGGAGCAAAGACAGGCUGCCCCGCUCCGGAGGAGCUUUUCCAGUGCUGCGGUACGUCUGCAUUAGGGCUUUCGUAGGUGCAGCUCCAGCCCCGCUCGGAGCAGCAGCGUAAUCGCACUAGCGCUUGCGGGAAGGAGGCCAGGCUACACCGCAGCCCGAGAAAAAUUGGCUGAGAAGCUCAUGAGCUGGAUCUAGACAUUUGUUAACUAAGCCCUGCACCAGCCGUGAGUCACUAAUCCGUUUUCCACCCGCUGCUGCAACCCAACACUGUGAACGCACUGGACACAGCCUGUUCCUGCGCCCUAAGCUAUACUUAUAAUAUAAAAAAAUAUUUGAUAGAUCGCUUUACGUUUUACACCGAGUGUCUUUAACAGGAGACUGGACUUGGAGUGGGUUUUGUAGGAAUUCGUGAAAUGUUAUUAGUUUACUAAGCGGUGAUGUACGAGUCCAACGCACUGAAUAAAAAAAAAAAAUAAAAAAAACA